rnacentral:rRNA from 1 species
UCGAGGAUCUUCCGCAAUGGGCGAAAGCCUGACGGAGCGACACCGCGUGCAGGAUGAAGGCCUUCGGGUUGUAAACUGCUGUCACGCUAUAGGAAUGUCUGGGCGUUAAUAGCGGCCAGGUUGACUAAAGCGAGAGGAAGCACCGGCUAACUCCGUGCCAGCAGCCGCGGUAAUACGGAGGGUGCAAGCGUUGUUCGGAAUUACUGGGCGUAAAGCGCGUGUAGGUGGUCGAGUAAGUCGAAUGUGAAAGCCCCGGGCUCAACCCGGGAAGUGCAUCCGAAACUGCUCGACUAGAGUCCCGGAGAGGAAGGCAGAAUUCCCAAUGUAGGGGUGAAAUCCGUAGAUAUUGGGAGGAAUACCGGUGGCGAAGGCGGCCUUCUGGACGGUGACUGACACUCAGACGCGAAAGCGUGGGGAGCAAACAGGAUUAGAUACCCUCGUAGUCCCUGAGCGGGCUGGCAAGGCGCAU